rnacentral:lncRNA from 1 species
GACAAGAUGCAGAUGGAGUCGCCGCUCCUGCCGGGCUUGAGUUUCCAUCAGCCCCCUCAGCAGCCGCCGCCGCCGCAGGAGCCCGCGGCACCCGGAGCGUCGCUGUCGCCGUCCUUCGGCAGCACCUGGUCAACGGGCACUACGAACGCGGUGGAGGACAGCUUCUUCCAGGGGAUCACCCCAGUCAACGGGACCAUGCUCUUCCAAAACUUCCCGCACCACGUCAACCCGGUCUUCGGAGGCACCUUCUCGCCGCAGAUCGGCCUGGCGCAGACCCAGCACCAUCAGCAGCCGCCGCCGCCCGCGCCACAGCCGCCGCAGCCUGCGCAGCCCCCGCAGGCGCAGCCCUCGCAGCAACGCCGCUCUCCCGCCAGCCCCAGCCAGGCGCCCUAUGCGCAGAGGAGCGCCGCCGCUUAUGGCCACCAGCCCAUCAUGACCAGCAAGCCGUCUUCAUCCUCGGCCGCCGCGGCUGCUGCGGCAGCGGCCG